rnacentral:rRNA from 1 species
UACGAAGGGGGCUAGCGUUGUUCGGAAUUACUGGGCGUAAAGGGUGCGCAGGCCGCGCGGGCAGUCAAAUGUGUAAUUCAGGGGCUCAACCCCUGCACUGCGCUUGAUACUUCCGCGCUCGAGCUUUGGAGAGGAGUCUGGAAUUCUCGGUGUAGCAGUGAAAUGCGUAGAUAUCGGGAGGAACACCAGUGGCGAAGGCGAGUCCCUGGACAAUUCCUGGACGCUGAGGCACGAAAGCCAGGGGAGCAAACAGG